GCUUCUCCUAACUAGGAAAAGUGCCCAAUGUCACCCAAAAUAGUCUAAUUCACGCAUAAAUGAAAAAUGAAAAUGUAACAACUUGCUAAGAUCUAAACAGGCAGUAAGGCAGUAAAGGAGCUUAAUCAAAGAGAGAGAAUCCCAUAUCGUCAUCACUCUCCUCUUUCUCUUCCUUUUUCUCCUCAGCUGCAGGAGCUUCAGCGGCAGCGGCAGCGCCUCCAGCCGGAGCAGCAGCAGCACCUCCACCCCCGAUGAAGGCUCCGCCUACAGCACCUCCAAUAACCACCUGUUGGCAUAAAAUAUCAGAAAUAUGAAACCGAACCAGAAAUAAAUGAUAUUCACCAUCGGAUCAUCGCAAAAACAAGUAUCCAAUCAAAUUAAACUUGUUCUUUUGAUUACGGUUUCAGUAUUUCGUUUUUUCCCAAUAGAUCUAAUGACGAAAUAAUAAGAUGAUGUAAAUAACGACAAAGGCAAGCACAAAAAAGGAGAAAACCUGGAAAACGGCAGAAUUAGGGGUAACGACAGAGAAAGAGGAGGUGACACCACCAGAGGAGUCGCAGGCGAUGGCAGCCUGGACGAGUUUCCGCUGGAGCUCGUAAGUGGAAGCAGCAGAGCUUUCAAUCUCUCCCUCCAACUGCUUGGCAGACCACUCACCGCCUUUGCUCCUGCACACAAAUGUGAAAACACCCAUCGUUUUUUUCCUUUUAUUACCUCUUUCACACACG
rnacentral:lncRNA from 1 species